GGGGAUUUGGGUAUCAAAAUGUGAGUUGAGGUGCAGCUGGAGGAGCACACUGCACCUGAUGCUGCCUGCUGAGCUGCUCAUUGCUGCAUCCCAAGCCCUUCCCCAGCAUCCAGCUGCACUUCAAAGGAAUUGAGAGGGGAAAUUGAUGUGAAAGGGCUGCACCUUCUCUGUUUUUCCCCAGGGAUCCAGUUCAGAAUGUCCGGCCUGUUGAACGCCUAAGCUCUUCAGAAUAAGUGAUUUUCAGAUGGAGUUAACAACUGUCACUCACGUCGAAGAAAGAAACUGAGUGAGGGCAAGAGUGGAAAGGACCUGCCAGCAUUGCAGGAUAGAAGGACGUGAAAACAGCAGCAGAGACUGAGAAGACAUGAGCUGUUCUGUGCUCACAGUAAAAUCAUUGGGAUUCUUGCCAUGAAUGCAGAACUGAGUUGCUCUUUCAGCAUUUCAGUACCCAUCACCAUAUUAUCUAGGCGCCACCGUAAGAUUAAGGAGCUCAACAUGAUCUGCUCAGAGGUCAUUAGCAGAGCCUUUCAUACUGGAGAAGGUCGGAGGAGAGUAAGGAAGUGCACAGCAGAAGAAAAGAAAAAGGAAAAGGAGGUGGUAAGCCAUUUUAGUUGUGCUCAUCCUGUGUGGCUUGCUUAGCUAGCACGGAAAUAUCAGAACCUCGUGACAGCUGUAUUUAUUCUGAUACGAGGACUACAGGACUUGUUGUUACACUACUGUUAUGUCAGAAAAUUGUCUUACGUGGCCCACAGUUUGGAUCUUUAUGAUUUCUGUAUAUUGCUGCCUCACAACAAGAUAACUCAAAAACUCCUAGCAGAAAGCAAACAUUGCAUCUCAGAGAGCCACUCUCUCCAAACUAAUAGGUUAAAAUUUGAUUUCUGGCUUAGCAUGUGAGUCCUACAAGCACUUUAUGCUUCAGGAAGCAGAGAGGGUGUUUUCCAACAUGCACAAAGUUACAUGGGAUCCAUGGAAACAGAAGACCCAAACUGGUUUCCACUGAAGACACUUGCUAUAGACUCUUUCAUUGCCAUGAGCACGUGCUAAGGGCAGCCUAGGAAUAUUGCUCUUUGGAAAGGUGACGCUGUCUGUACUGUGUUCACUGAUGCAGCCUGUUGUUACUGUUUCAAGAAAUACAUUAGUAGGAGAAACCUGCCAAAGUUCUUUUUUCUUCACCACUACAAUUAGGAAGGCUGGUGCAGUCCUGCUGAGACCAAUGGUGGUAUGCUGACGUGCUCAAAUAAACCCACUGAGGGUCUUUUCUACCA
rnacentral:lncRNA from 1 species